CAGGAAGUGGCUGACCAAAUAUUCCUGAGAAUGACUGGGUAAACCUUGGUUGAGGUUCUUGCUUAGCAGGAAGGUAUCCACAUACCCAGACACCACCUCCUGGAACCACAAGCAGAGGGAAAACCUUUCCAGCAAUCUGUUGAGCACGGGUAUAUCAAACCCCUUUGCAUUGUGGGCAGCUAGCAGCAUGGGACCGUGGCCGUCCAAGUUGCUAAGAUAGUUGAGGAAGGAGGUGAGAGCAUGAUAAAUAGGCAUGGUCCCAACACAUCUUCCGCGCAGAUACAGCUGGUCACAAUAGACGGUGAAGCCUGUCAGUCGACUGGCGGCUGGAUGGAUGCGCCGGCGGGGGAGGGUGUAGACAUUAAAUUCUUCAGUCUUCACAGACAGCCGAC